UUAUGUUAUAUAGAUAUGUUAUAUGUAUACAAACAUGCUACAAGGAUUUAAUUGUGUUUAUUUUAUUUGUAUCAUGCAGAAGGCUUCCUUCUACAAAUGUUCAGUCACCUGACAUAAAUGCACUGUAGUUCUAGAAAUGAGAAGAUGUGUGAAGUCGUGCGGGAUGUUGCAAACUAUUUCCCAACGGCAAUAAUUAGUGGAAGAUGACGUGAUAAGUUGGCAUAUGGUGGUAUCAAUGGUUGCAGGACAAACUGUACAACUGCCCCAUUGUUCGAGGCAUUUGGAGGAGUACCCUUUCAGUCAGGUCCAUAUGAGUCCAUCCAAAAAAAAAAAAAACAGGGGCAUGCAUUGGGUACAUCGCCGGUAUCAGUCAAAUACAUCCAAUACAACAUAGACGCUGGAAUUAGAAUUUUGUUUUGUUUUAAAUUUUUUUUUUUUUUUUCAAAAUCUCUCUUCUUUUUUUUUUUUAUAAUAGGUGGACUGUGUGUAUGUAAAACAAAUGAAUGGUCAAUAGAAUUGGACCAACAACCCAUGGUGCAGGUGAACAAGUUCCCUUUCUUUUUUCUUUUUCUUUUUUUAUAUAAUGUUUGUACUAUUCCCUUUUUACUUUUAAGAUUGGCUGGUUUUCAAAUGGCUAUAGAUUGUUGUUUUACCCUGCUAUCUAAUCUAGUCUUUGA